rnacentral:tRNA from 1 species
GUUCCUAUAGUUGAAUAACAACGGUGGUUUUUCACGCCAUUAGUCCUGGAUAGAGCCCUGGUAGGAAUU